CGCCUUCGCUCACUUCCCAGCAGCUGCGGGCGUGCUUAGUUUCAAGACACCACGGGCUUUGGUAACGUGGUUGAACUCUGGCUCCAACAGCAGAGGCUUCUCUUGGAAAGGAGCCUGAAGCUGCCCCAGGCAAUAGGUCCACCCUGUUUCCAUUCAGCAAAAGCUGCGUUGGGACUACAAGGUUCGGUUUCAUCUGUGCCAGCGAGGAGCAUGGAGGUGGUUCUGCUUCUUCAGGAGGCAUCACGGAUUAAAGUCUGUUCUUCCAGGAUAAUGUCUAUCCACAUUUUCCAACGGCACGGUCAGAGGACAUUCCUCUGUUGGGAAAUCUGCAAACAAAAGGAAAAUUUGUCUUUUUAGCUUUGUUUCCUAGUGAAGAAUUUAUUACGGCUAAGGUUGCUCUUUCUGGAAAAUAUAAAAGCAUAACUGUGUCACUAGGAACUGCCUUACUUAAUCAGACCAAAGAUCUCCUAGCCCCAAGCUCUGCCGCCAGUUAGAGGAGCAGGAGGCACAAAGCACUGCAGCACUUCGCCAGCCCGCACCUCCAGCUGUGCCAAGCCACAUCCACAGCUGAGGGACGUGCUGAGCUCCAGACUGCAUCCGUGCCUUUGCAUUUCAGAACUCUGGACUCAAUUUUCAUUACAACCACCUUUUGGACACCUUUCUAGCUUUGGCCUCUAUAAUAUCCAACAACAGCAAGUUGCAGCUUGUUCUACACACUAUUAUUUUUUUUUUUUUUUGUCAGAAAGUUUAUUCCAGGUCAUAGUUUCUUUAAAGUCAUAUUGAUAUUUUCUAUUUUAUUCUCUAAUAUUUUCCCCUGGGCACUGGCAGGGCUGAUAAAUUAAAUUUGGUAUUGAUUUUUAAAUAUGCUUAAGAAGUUUCCUUAUCGAGUAGUUGGCCAGCAUUCUGCCUCCUAUAGGUUCUUCCAUAAUUAAAACCGUCUGUCUGGUCCAUCAUCUCAGAUAAAUUUGAAUUAUCUGGAAAAAAUACUUUUCCUAAAUUGACAGUGUUCUUUGCUGAAGGUGGUGUACAGAUUUGUAAAGGAUUUUUUUUGUUUGUUUUUAACUUAAUCCACGUAACCUAGCAACAUUUACACCAUCAAUAAACAAGUACUAUUUUGCUGAGGAAAAGAAUGCCCAACCCAUUGUUUUUCACUCUGUUGGUAGUAGUGGCAAUAUUCACAAUUCCCAGUGCACUGCACUUAGAGAGUCUUUUUCUUAUUUCAUAUUCCUUUUAGUCACACUUCAGCUCACCUGCUGAAGCUUUGUUCAGAAUAAUUACAAGAUACCGAAGAGAGAUAUCCAUGGAAAACGCUCGCCUUGAUUUUUCUGUUUAGUUUUUCUGUUGGU